GACGAACGCUGGCGGCGUGCUUAACACAUGCAAGUCGAACGGAAAGGUCCUGCUUUUGUGCGGAGCUCGAGUGGCGAACGGGUAAGUAACACGUGAGUAACCUGUCCUUGACCUUGGGAUAACUUCAGGAAACUGGGGCUAAUACCGGAUAGGAGCUCCUGCUGCAUGGUGGGGGCUGGAAAGAUUCGGCGGUUGGUGAUGGACUCGCGGCUUAUCAGCUUGUUGGUGGGGUAGUGGCAUACCAAGGCUUUGACGGCUAGCCUGCCUGAGAGGGGAACCGGCCACGUUGGAACGGAGAUACGGCCCAGCCUCCAACGGGAGGCAGCAGAGGAGAAUAGUGCACGAGGGGCGGGAGCCUGAUGCAGUCACGCCGCGCGCGGGAUGACAGCCUUCGGGUUGUAUACCGCAUUCGCCUGUGACGAGGCGUGAGUGACAGUAAUGGGUAAAGAAGCACCGGCUAACUACGUG
rnacentral:rRNA from 1 species